AAUCUCGUUCUCGGAUAUUCAUCCGAUUACUGCUAUACUUUUCUAUUCCCUUCUUUCCCCUCCCAUAAUUUUCCCUUUCACGGGAAAGACGAAAUCUUUGCGAUACUUGUAAUUAAUAACGUUCGGUCGUGCGUGUAAAAUCCGUUUAAACGGGUCGCUUAAAUCGAACGAUUAACGUUAGCGUUAUUAAAUUUAACGAGCGUUGUAAAUCAAGGACGAGGGGGGCCAGGAUUCGUACGUUUAAUCCCAUUGCCGUCGCGCGAAAGAUGUCUCGCAUCAAAAUUCGUACGAUAUUAUGUCAGAUCGAUGGAAGUACAAUGCAUUGGAAGAGUGGUGUUACUAGAGCUUACAAACAGAAUUCAAAUGGAACCGACUCGGCGAAAAAGCAGAUCUUAUCGCAGCGAACUGUCAAGGGUGCAUCACGAGAUUGCUCCUAUCCCUGCCGGCUCCCAACGGCCCCGGUUCAUCCCCUUUGACGCCGGACUCAAAUUCUACCCCGAUAUCGCUCUGACGCAAAAGAGCAUACGGAGUAACACGUCAAUAUACUUUUGGAACUCGAUGUAAUUGCUAUUAAUACGAAAAGCAAUAUGAAAUGCGAAUUCCAACAAAUUUUAUCUAUGUUCUUUUAUAUUAUUUUUAUAUCGUCGAGCCAAAACAAUAAUAAUAACUGCAAAAUUGCGAAUAUUUAAUUAAACACGUUAUUAUUUCUAGAAACAUUUAAUUUCUAUUUACUUUCUAUUUACAACAAUUAUUUAAUUAUAAAUAUAAUACGUUUGACUUGUCUUUUCAAUAAUAACAUUUUACGAUAUAGAUUAUAAUGGUAUUUUUUUUUAUCGAUGCAACCUCGUAUACAUAAAUAAAUUUGUCAACCAAUUUAUCAAAUUCAUUAAAAAGAAUUACGAACUGGAA